UACGGAGGAUCCAAGCGUUAUCCGGAAUUAUUGGGCUUAGAGGGUCCGUAGGCGGUUUUGCAAGUCAGCGGUGAAAGCCCAUCGCUCAACGGUGGAACGGCCAUUGAUACUGCAAGACUUGAAUUAUUGGGAAGUAACUAGAAUAUGUAGUGUAGCGGUGAAAUGCUUAGAGAUUACAUGGAAUACCGAUUGCGAAGGCAGGUUACUACCAAUAUAUUGACGCUGAUGGACGAAAGCGUGGGGAGCGAACAGG
rnacentral:rRNA from 1 species